UACGGGGGGGGGCAAGCGUUGUUCGGAAUUACUGGGCGUAAAGGGCUCGUAGGCGGCCAACUAAGUCAGACGUGAAAUCCCUCGGCUUAACCGGGGAACUGCGUCUGAUACUGGAUGGCUUGAGUUUGGGAGAGGGAGUGCGGAAGUUCCAGGUGUAGCGGUAGAAAUGCGUAGAUAUCUGGAGGAACACCGGUGGCGAAGGCGGCAUCCUGGACCAACACUGACGCUGAGUGAGCGAAAGCCAGGGGAGCAAACGGG
rnacentral:rRNA from 1 species